rnacentral:lncRNA from 1 species
CAAAGACCAAAUUAAUGAAGGUGGGAAAGGUGGUGGGAAUUAAAUUAGAAAACCGAGGCUAAAGUAUACAUUGCAAUCAAGCCACCACAUUGCUCUGAGUUUCCAGAUAAUCAAGACAAGCACAAGCAGACACCUGUGUCACUGGAACUGUCCACAGGAGGCUGAAUCACUGUUCCUGGGCUGGAUUACAGGAGGAGUUGUGUCUUGGAAAAGGUAAGACAGGUUCAUCGCGAAGAGCGCAGGACUCUUCCAACUUUAAAUCUCUUUGGUUUUAUGUUAUAGUCCCUAUUUAGAAAGUCAAAAGUGGAUCUUGCAUUCUUUCUAACAAUGUAAGGGCUGAAC